GAGUUUGAUUAUGGCUCAGGACAAACGCUGGCGGCGUGCUUAACACAUGCAAGUCGAACGAUGAAACGGAACGGAAGUUUUCGGACGGAAGUUCUGUGGAUUAGUGGCGGACGGGUGAGUAAUGCAUGAAGAACCUGCCUUUCACAUAGGAAUAGCCUCGGGAAACCGGGAUUAAUACCAAAUGACACUCCGAGAUCGCAUGUUUUUGGGGUUAAAGAUUUUAUCGGUGAAAGACGGCUUCAUGUCCCAUUAGCUGGUUGGUGAGGUAACGGCUCACCAAGGCGACGAUGGGUAGCCGGCCUGAGAGGGUGAACGGCCACAUUGGAACUGAGACACGGUCCAAACUCCUACGGGAGGCAGCAGUGGGGAAUAUUGCACAAUGGAGGGAACUCUGAUGCAGCGACGCCGCGUGAGCGAUGAAGGUCUUCGGAUCGUAAAGCUCUGUCCUAAGGGACCGAUAAUGA
rnacentral:rRNA from 1 species